CCUACGGGUGGCAGCAGUGGGGAAUAUUGCACAAUGGGGGAAACCCUGAUGCAGCGACGCCGCUUGAGUGAAGAAGUACUUCGGAAUGUAAAGCUCUAUCAGCAGGGAAGAAGCAAGACGGUACCCGACGAAGAAGCUCCGGCUAACUACGUGCCAGCAGCCGCGGGAAUACGUAGGGGGCAAGCGUUAUCCGGAUUUACUGGGUGUAAAGGGAGCGUAGACGGGAGUGCAAGUCUGGAGUGAAAUCUCGGGGCUUAACCCGGGGACUGCUUUUGAAACUGGGUGUCUUGAGUGCUGGAGAGGUAGGUGGAAUUCCUAGUGUAGCGGUGAAAUGCGUAGAUAUUAGGAGGAACACCAGUGGCGAAGGCGGCUUACUGGACAGUAACUGACGUUGAGGCGCGAAAGCGUGGGGAGCAAACAGGAUUAGAUACCCUGGUAGUC
rnacentral:rRNA from 1 species